rnacentral:rRNA from 1 species
UACGAAGGGGGCUAGCGUUGCUCGGAAUCACUGGGCGUAAAGGGCGCGUAGGCGGCCCGUCAAGUCCCGUGUGAAAGCCCCCGGCUCAACCGGGGAACGGCGCGGGAAACUAGCAGGCUUGAGUUCGGGAGAGGGAAGCGGAAUUCCGGGUGUAGCGGUGAAAUGCGCAGAUAUCCGGAGGAACACCGGUGGCGAAGGCGGCUUCCUGGACCGACACUGACGCUGAGGCGCGAAAGCUAGGGGAGCAAACGGG